rnacentral:rRNA from 1 species
UGGGGAAUAUUGGACAAUGGGCGAAAGCCUGAUCCAGCAAUGCCGCGUGAGUGAUGAAGGCCUUAGGGUUGUAAAGCUCUUUUACCCGGGAUGAUAAUGACAGUACCGGGAGAAUAAGCCCCGGCUAACUCCGUGCCAGCAGCCGCGGUAAUACGGAGGGGGCUAGCGUUGUUCGGAAUUACUGGGCGUAAAGCGCACGUAGGCGGUUUCUCAAGUCAGAGGUGAAAGCCCGGGGCUCAACCCCGGAACUGCCUUUGAAACUAGGAGACUAGAAUCUUGGAGAGGUCAGUGGAAUUCCGAGUGUAGAGGUGAAAUUCGUAGAUAUUCGGAAGAACACCAGUGGCGAAGGCGACUGACUGGACAAGUAUUGACGCUGAGGUGCGAAAGCGUGGGGAGCAAACA